UAUAGCAUCACUAAUAAUUUACGAGAUGGGCAAUAUAUGUAUAGUUUUGAAAAUUGAGGGGCAACGUUUAUACCACUAAUAAUUCAAGAGUAACUUUGAUAAUU